rnacentral:tRNA from 2 species
GAGGAUUUAGCUUAAUCAAAGUGGUUGAUUUGCAUUCAAUUGAUGUAAGAUAUGGUCUUGCAAUCCUUA